AAUGUUUCGUGCAAAAAGAGCAGCUGCAUUACGAUGGACAAGUGCGUGGGCAAAUUUCAUUCGUUUGCAUACGAUGUCGCUUCAGCAAGCUCCGCCAGCUAGAGAAUGGAUGCGCCCAAUGCUUCGCGAAAGGGAUGAGCAAGCGAGUCGGUUGCUAGCGUCUAUUUUGGAAGAAGAAUUGGAUAAUACCAUAAUUAAUUUUAUGAGAUUGUCUAGAAACGAUUUCGAUUACCUUCUUAAGCAAAUCGGUCCAAAGAUUCAAAGAAUGGAUACGAAUAUGCGUUUAAGUUUGUCAGCCAAAGACAAGCUUAUAAUUACCUUGCGGUAUUUGGCUACAGGAGACUCAUACAAAACCCUUGAAUACGCCUUCCGGAUUUCAGCACAGGCAAUCGGUCAAUUUGUACCGCAAGUGUGUGACUGUCUUGUGGAAGUCCUUCGAGAGCAGGUAAAGUUACCCACAUGCUCCGACGAAUGGAAACGAAUCGCGCAAGGCUUUCAAGACAAAUGGAAUUUUCCACAUGCAAUCGGAGCAAUUGAUGG